UUUCCUCUCUUUUCAGACAAGGAAACGAAGGCUCAGAGGCAUCAAAUAACUGGGUCCACAUUACUUGGCUAAUAAGUGGCGAAGCUAAAUGUUCGGCCCCUGUAGACACUCUUCACCUGCGCACUCAGACAACAGUAGCGUCAUCAAAGAGAGCAGCUCCUGAAGUGACACAAGUGAGUGAACCCGUCAGGCUGCCAGAUCCGUGCUCACGACAACUUUGCCGUCAUCUGUGGGCACGUGCGGAUUGGAGCCACAUUUGAGUCACGUGUUCCCAGCCGAGGCCAGACAAGGUGCCACCACGGCCUUCUCCUUCCAGCCCUCGCGGUGUACGUAAGUGUCCUUUUCCC
rnacentral:lncRNA from 1 species